GACGUAGGGCGCGAGCGUUGUCCGGAUUUAUUGGGCGUAAAGAGCUCGUAGGCGGCUUGUCGCGUCGAAUGUGAAAACCCACAGCUCAACUGUGGGCUUGCAUUCGAUACGGGCAGGCUAGAGUUCGGUAGGGGAGACUGGAAUUCCUGGUGUAGCGGUGAAAUGCGCAGAUAUCAGGAGGAACACCGUGGCGAAGGCGGGUCUCCUGG
rnacentral:rRNA from 1 species